GCCCUCGUAGCUCAGUGGGAGAGCAUAACCCUCAUAAGGUUGAGGUCAGAUGAUCGAAACAUCUCUAGGGCU
rfam:Naegleria gruberi genomic scaffold NAEGRscaffold_55, whole genome shotgun sequence.